rnacentral:rRNA from 1 species
UACGGAGGGUGCAAGCGUUAUCCGGAUUCACUGGGUUUAAAGGGUGCGUAGGUGGGCAGGUAAGUCAGUGGUGAAAUCUCUGGGCUUAACCCGGAAACUGCCGUUGAUACUAUCUGUCUUGAAUGUAGUGGAGGUGAGCGGAAUAUGUCAUGUAGCGGUGAAAUGCUUAGAUAUGACAUAGAACACCUAUUGCGAAGGCAGCUCGCUACACUAUUAUUGACACUGAGGCACGAAAGCGUGGGGAUCAAACAGG